CAUCCUCCAAGGCUAAAUACUCCUGACUGACCGAUAGUGAACCAGUACCGUGAGGGAAAGGCGAAAAGAACCCCGGCGAGGGGAGUGAAAAAGAACCUGAAACCGUGUACGUACAAGCAGUGGGAGCCCCACCACUAAGCCAGUGGUGAACUCCACAUCCGCAUCCUUUGCUGAGGAUACGGUUAACGGAGCGAAAGCGACGUUCAACCGCAAAACAAGCAGAGGGGGCUUAGUGGUGGGGUGACUGCGUACCUUUUGUAUAAUGGGUCAGCGACUUAUAUUCUGUAGCAAGGUUAACCGAAUAGGGGAGCCGGAGGGAAACCGAGUCUUAAUUGGGCGUUAAGUUGCAGGGUAUAGACCCGAAACCCGGUGAUCUAGCCAUGGGCAGGUUGAAGGUUGGGUAACACUAACUGGAGGACCGAACCGACUAAUGUUGAAAAAUUAGCGGAUGACCUGUGGCU
rnacentral:rRNA from 1 species